rnacentral:rRNA from 1 species
GACGAACGCUGGCGGCGUGCUUAACACAUGCCAGUCGAACGGAAAGGCCCUGCUUUUGUGGGGUGCUCGAGUGGCGAACGGGUGAGUAACACGUGAGUAUCCUGCCCUUGACUGUGGGAGAACUUCAGGAAACUGGGGCGAAUACCGGAUAGGAGCUCCUGCUGCAUGGUGGGGGAUGGAAAGAUCCGGCGGUUGGGGAUGGACUCGCAGGUUAUCAGCUUGUUGGUGAGGUAGGGGUUUACCAAGGCUUUGAAGGGUAGCCGGCCUGGGAGGGUGACCGGCCUCAUGGGGACUGCGGUAGGGCGCAGAAGCGUACCGGACGCAGCAGUGGGGAAUAUUGCGCAAUGGGCGGAAGCCUGAUGAAGAAACGCCGGGUGCGGGAUGACGGCCUUCGGGUUAUAAACCGCUUUCGACUGUAACGAAGCGUGAGUGACGGUAAUGGGUAAAGAAGCACCGGCUAACUACGUG